UACGAGGGGGGCGAGCGUUGUUCGGAAUUAUUGGGCGUAAAGGGUGCGUAGGCGGUUCCGCAAGUCCUGUGUGAAAUCUUCGGGCUCAACUCGAAGUCUGCACGGGAAACUGCGGGGCUUGAGUGUGGGAGAGGUGAGUGGAAUUCCCGGUGUAGCGGUGAAAUGCGUAGAGAUCGGGAAGAACACCAGUGGCGAAGGCGGCCGGCUGGGGGCGCCCUGACGCUGAGGCGCGAGAGCGUGGGGAGCAAACCGG
rnacentral:rRNA from 1 species